rnacentral:tRNA from 1 species
GUUUAAAUAGUUUAUUUAAAAAUUUUAGUUUGUGAAUCUAAAGAUAUAUUAUGUAUUUUAAACA